GACGAACGCUGGCGGCGUGCUUAACACAUGCAAGUCGAACGGAAAGGCCCUGCUUUUGUGGGGUGCUCGAGUGGCGAACGGGUGAGUAACACGUGAGUAACCUGCCCUUGACUUUGGGAUAACUUCAGGAAACUGGGGCUAAUACCGGAUAGGAGCUCCUGCUGCAUGGUGGGGGUUGGAAAGUUUCGGCGGUUGGGGAUGGACUCGCGGCUUAUCAGCUUGUUGGUGGGGGAGUGGCUUACCAAGGCUUUGACGGGUAGCCGGCCUGAGAGGGUGACCGGCCACAUUGGGACUGAGAUACGGCCCAGACUCCUACGGGAGGCAGCAGGGGGGAAUAUUGCACAAUGGGCGGAAGCCUGAUGCAGCAAAGCCGCGUGCGGGAUGACGGCCUUCGGGUUGUAAACCGCUUUCGCCUGUGACGAAGCGUGAGUGACGGUAAUGGGUAAAGAAGCACCGGCUAACUACGUG
rnacentral:rRNA from 1 species